GACGAACGCUGGCGGCGUGCCUAAUACAUGCAAGUCGAGCGGACCGAAUGGAAGCUUGCUUCUGUUCGGUUAGCGGCGGACGGGUGAGUAACACGUGGGUAACCUGCCCGUAAGACCGGGAUAACUCCGGGAAACCGGGGCUAAUACCGGAUAACACCGAAGACCGCAUGGUCUUUGGUUGAAAGGUGGCUUUUGCUACCACUUACGGAUGGGCCCGCGGCGCAUUAGCUAGUUGGUGAGGUAACGGCUCACCAAGGCGACGAUGCGUAGCCGGCCUGAGAGGGUGACCGGCCACACUGGGACUGAGACACGGCCCAGACUCCUACGGGAGGCAGCAGUAGGGAAUCUUCCGCAAUGGACGAAAGUCUGACGGAGCGACGCAGCGUGAGCGAAGAAGGUCUUCGGAUCGUAAAGCUCUGUUGUUAGGGAAGAAGAAGUACCGUUCGAAUAGGGCGGUACGGUGACGGUACCUAACGAGAAAGCCCCGGCUAACUACGUGCCAGCAGCCGCGGUAAGAC
rnacentral:rRNA from 1 species